GGCGACCCCAGGUCAGGCGGGAUAA
rnacentral:rRNA from 1 species